GAAGGAUGCCAAUAGUUAAAAAUGACAUUGAGAGGAAUACUGAUGGAAGAACUCAGGAUGGUAGACUCUGUAAACGGAUGUAAUUAUGGCUGUUAGUGCUAUGUUCUUUGGUAGCCGCUGCCCAAGCUGGUUUAAUCUACACUCCUGGUCUUAUUGGAACUGGAGCUAGUGCUCAGUAUCGUCGACAAGAUAACAUAGGCUUUCGGUUACAACGAGGGACAUUUGACAGGCGGCACCUUCCGCAAGGAGACUGGCGAUGCCUUCGGCAACAAGAUUGGUUCCUAUGGUUUAAGGGAUGCUGACGGCCGUGUUCGCACAGUAAACUAUGUUGCUAAUGCCGCUGGUUAUCGUGCUGACAUUUCAAGCAACGAGCCCGGUGUCGAACCUAAGGAUCCUGCCAGCACUUCCAUCAAUAAAGGAGUGGUUGUUGCUGCUCCUGCCGCCCACGC